rnacentral:rRNA from 1 species
UACAAAGGGGGCUAGCGUUGUUCGGAAUUACUGGGCGUAAAGGGCGCGUAGGCGGUGUGUCAAGUCAGGCGUGAAAGCCCCGGGCUCAACCUGGGAACCGCGCUUGAGACUGGCACGCUAGAGUUCGGGAGAGGAUGGUGGAAUUCCGACGUGUAGCAGUGAAAUGCGUAGAGAUGUGGAGGAACACCGAUGGCGAAGGCAGCCUCCUGGGCCAGCACUGACGCUCAUGCACGAAAGCGUGGGGAGCAAACAGG